ACAUCCAGCGAACUUGGCAGAGAUGCCUUGGUGCCUUCGGGAACGCUGAGACAGGUGCUGCAUGGCUGUCGUCAGCUCGUGUUGUGAAAUGUUGGGUUAAGUCCCGNAACGAGCGCAACCCUAUCCUUUGUUGCCAGCGAUUCGGUCGGGAACUCAAAGGAGACUGCCGGUGAUAAACCGGAGGAAGGUGGGGAUGACGUCAAGUCAUCAUGGCCCUUACGAGUAGGGCUACACACGUGCUACAAUGGCGCAUACAAAGAGAAGCGACCUCGCGAGAGCAAGCGGACCUCAUAAAGUGCGUCGUAGUCCGGAUCGGAGUCUGCAACUCGACUCCGUGAAGUCGGAAUCGCUAGUAAUCGUGGAUCAGAAUGCCACGGUGAAUACGUUCCCGGGCCUUGUACACACCGCCCGUCACACCAUGGGAGUGGGUUGCAAAAGAAGUAGGUAGCUUAACCUUCGGGAGGGCGCUUACCACUUUGUGAUUCAUGAUUGGGGUGAAGUCGUAACAAGGUAAGCGUAGCGAG
rnacentral:rRNA from 1 species